AGAGUUUGAUCCUGGCUCAGGAUGAACGCUAGCGGCAGGCUUAAUACAUGCAAGGCAGGGGGCAGCAAUGUCACCGUCGUACGGGUGCGUAACGCGUAUGCAACCUACCUUCAACUGGGGGAUAGCCCGGGGAAACCCGGAUUAAUACCGCAUAAUACAUACGGAUCACCUGAUUUGUUUUGUUAAAGAUUUAUUGGUUGAAGAUGGGCAUGCGUUCGAUUAGCUAGUUGGCAGGGUAACGGCCUACCAAGGCGACGAUCGAUAGGGGAGCUGAGAGGUUGAUCCCCCACACGGGCACUGAGAUACGGGCCCGACUCCUACGGGAGGCAGCAGUAGGGAAUAUUGGGCAAUGGAUGCAAGUCUGACCCAGCCAUGCCGCGUGCCGGAUGAAGGCCCUCAGGGUUGUAAACGGCUUUUAUUCGGGAAGAAGAGCGAGGGUGCGCCCUUGUGUGACGGUACCGAAUGAAUAAGCACCGGCUAACUCCGUG
rnacentral:rRNA from 1 species